UAUUGAUGAUGAGGACAUUGAGCAACUAAUAGCUUGAACCGCUCCCAGGCUUCAUCAAUUGGCUUCCCUUCCAUUUAAGCAAAGGUGCAACUCUUAUUCCUGAAAUC